AUUGAACGCUGGCGGCAUGCCUAACACAUGCAAGUCGAACGAGUGGCGGACGGGUGAGUAAUGUCUGGGAAACUGCCUGAUGGAGGGGGAUAACUACUGGAAACGGUAGCUAGUACCGCAUACCAUCAGAUGUGCCCAGAUGGGAUUAGCUAGUUGGUGGGGUAACGGCUCACCAAGGCGACGAUCCCUAGCUGGUCUGAGAGUAUGACCCGCCACACUGGAACUGAGACACGGUCCAGACUCCUACGGGAGGCAGCAGUGGGGAAUAUUGCACAAUGGGCGAAAGCCUGAUGCAGCCAUGCCGCGUGUAUGAAGAAGGCUUUCGGGUUGUAAAGUACUUUUAGCGGGGAGGCGUUAACCGAAGAAGAAGUAACGGCUAACUCCGUGCCAGCCGCCGCGGUAAUUC
rnacentral:rRNA from 1 species